GUGCUUGCAUUGGCAGCACAUAUCAUAUACUAAAAAUGGAGCAAUACAGAGAAUAUUAACAUGGCCACUGCAAGGAUGUUCAACAAAUUCAUGAAGCAUUCCAUAUUUUU
ensembl:snRNA U6 U6 spliceosomal RNA